AUACGGAGGGGGUUAGCGUUGUUCGGAAUUACUGGGCGUAAAGCGUACGUAGGCGGACUGGAAAGUUGGGGGUGAAAUCCCGGGGCUCAACCCCGGAACUGCCUCCAAAACUUCCAAUCUAGAGAUCGAGAGAGGUGAGUGGAAUUCCAAGUGUAGAGGUGAAAUUCGUAGAUAUUUGGAGGAACACCAGUGGCGAAGGCGGCUCACUGGCUCGAUACUGACGCUGAGGUACGAAAGCGUGGGGAGCAAACAGGAUUAGAAACCCCUGUAGUCC
rnacentral:rRNA from 1 species